CGGAGUUCGUAAAUGUGAUUUUAUUAAAAUCCUUAGUAAUCUUUAAGGAUAGCUUUGUGAAUCGAAUUUGGGACCUACCAUAACGAUAAUCGCAACCAUAAUCCUGAGAACAAAUCUUUCACUCAAGAAACUAAGGAGUUAUGAUGUUGUGUGGACAGUAUGUCAGCGCUCAAAGUCUUGAUUCAAGAACGGACCAUUUAGCGAAAAAAGCUGGAUUUAAUGAUUUUGGCAAAUUUCUACCAAGUAAAUAAAAACCUGUGUCAAAUUUCAAGAAAAGUGGAUCGAAAAUACUAUAUGUACUUAAAUGUAACAUGAUGAUAUAACCGCCAUUUUGCUGACAAACUAGGCUUCCAGCGUCACCGCAAACAAUUAUAAAAGCGACAUAAAAUCCCGUUAAGCCCAGUACUGACUUCAUUCGAACCGAAAUGCCUAAUAAAAUAUUGCGAAAUACGACGGACCCUUGGCUUUUCCAAAACACAAACAAAAGUCGAACAACAACUAAGACAACAGCAUUGAAGCAGAGUUGUGUGACGCCCCUUUCGUGAGCAUUUAAUUACAUUGGCGAAAUUUAUAUUGGCGCAGCGACAUGUCGCUACUAUUGUGUUCGCAGUUUCUUCGUCACAAUUUUUUUUAUAAUGCGUUUUGACAGAUCGAAGUUAAUACUAGUGUUGCCACUCAAGAAAAUUAUUUCCUACCAAAUGUCCUACAAGACAAAACUGCGAUAUAUGAUUUUAUACCCACCAUCGAAAAGUAAGCCACUUGCCCUUCCAUUUGUAACACAUCAUAUUGUACUUUUUCAACGCUACAAAGUACAGAAGCGUCGUUAUUCAUAAAGGAUGGAGACAUGUCCGUCAGUCUGUUGAGAAGUCCCGAUAAUAAAUCUUGUGUCCAUAAAGUCAUAUUUGUGACCCGAUUUCAAUGUACAAUCGUGUCAGUUUGGAUAAAGCGAACUCCCUAUUUAAAUGUCCCGAUUGAAGUGCGCUCUUACUACCCAUUUUGCCGUUGCAGUGAAUUGCAUGGACCUCUCAACAUCUGAGCAUGGGCCAGAUCUGACCAUAUUGGUAUGCAGCUGUCAUAUAGGCCUGUUUUCCGAUUAUGGCAAAAAAGCCGCAUUUUCUACCCAGAAUUUGCGAAAUUUUGAAGAGAUCCCUUAACACUCGUACAAGUUACAGUUAAUAUCUUACUGAAGCUUAAAGUAGUGAGACCACUUGUAAUAGUAUUUGGCCCCUCGACAUCCGUGGUUUUUUUCUGCACUCUUAACGAAUACAAGAUUUUUUCAGUAAGUACUUUUUUAUGUUGGAAAAACCUACCAAAACUUGAGGUUAAACUACCAAGGGAAUAAAAACCUAGCAAUUUUGGUAGAUAGGAACCUACCAAAAACGGCAGCAUUGGUCAGUACUAGACUUUAUACAGUAAAUAUUAAAAAUAUUAUUUUUCGUUUGCAUAAAUAUGGUUUAGUAGACGUCCAAUAAUAAAUCUUGUGUCCAUCUAUCAAAUGUUA